GAAGGUACCACAUCCUUCCUCGAAGCCUAUUGCUUUGUGGAGUUUUGUUUCAAAAAAACCCCAGCAGAGCUAAUAUUCUCAAGAGAGUAUUGAGAGAAAAGGACAGGUAGAAGAGGUGAAGAUAGCAGCAGCAGAGAAUGAACUCAAUUUCCAUUUUCAUUCCCCCUAUGCACAGCAGAAGUUAAAGAACAUUGCCUGCUUGUGGGAAAGACAACCCUCAGGCUGUGUGAGGAUCAACUGUGCCUUCCAUCACAGCAAACCUCGUUAUAUCAAUGGACUUUUUCUGCCACCUACUAACAGUGAGUAAAAAUAUUUUC